GAUGAACGCUAGCUACAGGCUUAACACAUGCAAGUCGAGGGGUAACGAGAGGAAAGCUUGCUUUCCUUGUCGACGACCGGCGCACGGGUGAGUAACGCGUAUCCAACCUGCCCCCAACUAGGGAAUAACCUUGCGAAAGUAAGACUAAUACCCUAUAAUUUCCUCAGAUGUCAUCUGACGAGGAAUAAAGAUUUAUCGGUUGUGGAUGGGGAUGCGUCUGAUUAGCUUGUUGGCGGGGUAACGGCCCACCAAGGCAACGAUCAGUAGGGGUUCUGAGAGGAAGGUCCCCCACAUUGGAACUGAGACACGGUCCAAACUCCUACGGGAGGCAGCAGUGAGGAAUAUUGGUCAAUGGGCGGAAGCCUGAACCAGCCAAGUAGCGUGCAGGAUGACGGCCCUAUGGGUUGUAAACUUCUUUUAUACAGGAAAAAAGUUAGCCACGUGUGGUUAUUUGUAGGUACUGUAUGAAUAAGGACCGGCUAAUUCCGUGCCAGCCGCCGCAGUAA
rnacentral:rRNA from 1 species